CUUCUGUAUUCUUGAGGU
rnacentral:siRNA from 1 species